rnacentral:tRNA from 1 species
UCCUUCAUAGCUCAGUUGGUAAAGAAUCUGCCUGCAAUGCAGGAGACCCUGGUUCGAUUCCUGGGUUGGGAA